rnacentral:rRNA from 1 species
UACGGAGGGUGCGAGCGUUAUCCGGAAUCACUGGGCGUAAAGGGCGCGUAGGCGGUCGGUUAAGUCCGAUGUUAAAGACCGGGGCUCAACCCCGGCGGGGCGUUGGAUACUGGCCGGCUGGACGGCUGGAGAGGGAAGUGGAAUUACCAGUGUAGCGGUGGAAUGCGUAGAUACUGGUAGGAACACCCAUUGCGAAGGCAGCUUUCUGGACAGCACGUGACGCUGAGGCGCGAAAGUGUGGGGAGCGAACCGG